rnacentral:misc_RNA from 1 species
AUAACAGCAGCUCCAAAACUCCUAGCAGGGUUGAUGCCAGUGCCAGUAAUUGGAAUAGUGGCAAGGUGAACCAUGAACACAGCAAAUCCAAUUGGAAGUGGAGCCAAAACGGGCACAUGGGAGUCUCUGGCACUCCUCUUUGGGUCUGUGGCGGAGAACACUGUGUAGACCAAAACAAAAGUACCGAUGAUCUCGGCACCCAAUCCAACGCCUGUGCUGUACCCAUUAGCCAGACUGUUGGCCCCACCACCAUACCUCUUAUAGUGGGAACUCUGGAAGGCCUUCACCAAUCCGACACCGGCUAUGGCUCCUAAGCACUGAGCCACCAUGUACAUCACGGCCCGCACCAAUGAGAUCUUUCGGGCCAGGAACAACCCGAAUGUCACUGCUGGGUUAAUGUGCCCUCCUGAAAUACCAGCAGUGCAGUAAACAAGAAUAAAGAUCAUGCCACCGAAAGCCCAAGCGAUGCCAAGAAUUCCAACACCACCACAAGCGUCAUGAGUCUUGGCAGGAUCAGUCUGGCUCUUAUAGCCAAUUACAGUCAAAACAGUGAUGUAAAGGAAGAGCAAAGUUGCUAUAAAUUCAGCAAUCAGAGCCCUGUAAAAUGACCACUUGGUUAGCUCCACCGCAUCAAUCAAUGGUGCUGGUGGUGGGUCAUGGUAGUCCUUGGCAGAGAAUGAUCCUUGUUCUGUAAUGUCCUUUACCAUGAUCGACAAUUGCGCUUAAAUCAGCUUCUCAGAAGACAAACAACAAGAAGUUCCCUUAAUACACAGAGAGAGGGAGAGAGAUUGAAAAAGUUGUUUAGCUAUUUUUGAGUUCUUAUGAUUAAAACAUGCCAAAUUUAACUUAACCAAUUUUUGAUGGCCUCUAACUAAUAUAUUUAAAGUGGUGCUUUUCUCAACAACAAUUCCAAAUGGACCCAAAAUCUGUUUGCUCCUGCUAUUCUGAGCUCUAUUUGAUUUAUUUAAUUGCAUAACUUAUGUCCAUUAUGGGUCUUUUGAUCCAAGCCCAUAAAAUGCCAAGAAAGCCAAGGCCCAAUGACUCUUAUUAUGAACCUGAGGUUUUGAGCCCCGUAGCCCAAUAUGAGCAGUUUUUUGUUGAUUCAAAAUACAACAUGUGGAGCAGUUUUAUCUUUCAAAAACAUGGAGGAGUGGAGCACGGGAGGUGUUAACAAAAACUCAACUGAAGUGUUUUUGAAUAUACUGCUAUGGUUAUGGUUUUGAUAUGAAGGACAUUAAGGCUUGUUUAAUUUUGCUGUGCGCAAGGAGACUAGCUCUUGGCAGAGGAGGUUUGUUUGGAUGGCAUUCUAAAGCAUAUUCCUUGGCGUAACUUGCAGCAAUUAUUAAGCCUUUAAUUUAGCUUUCUUUCUUAAGUAAUUUUUGUGGAGAUUCACUGUGUUCUUGGUAACCCUUAGAAUGUGGAUAUUAUGGGUGAUUCUUUCUACCAUGUGAUGAUGUAUGGAUUGGUGAUUCAAGGUUGAGUUCUAGGGUUUAUGCAUGUUAGCCUUAGUUUCUUGAGUUUUAAAUUCCAACAUUGGUAUCAGAGUGUCUGGUUCUUGUUUUCCUAGUCUGUGUUUGAUGCAUGACGUGAUAUACAUGAGCUAAAAUGAUGAUAAUAGCUUGUGGUAUAUGUUUUUGCAAUUCUAGAUUUUUUGAAACAUGAUCAAGAUGCCAUGUUUGAGCAUUUAUUUCUCUUUGUUUGAUUGUCCUUAGUACGUAUUAUUCAUGCCAUAUGAAAGUAUAGAUUCUUAGCUUUCUGUAGGUAUAUUAUUUGCUUAAUUUGGAUUACAAACGAGAGAGAUGAACCCUCAAA